rnacentral:rRNA from 1 species
GUCGAGCGGACAGAAGGGAGCUUGCUCCCGGAUGUUAGCGGCGGACGGGUGAGUAACACGUGGGUAACCUGCCUGUAAGACUGGGAUAACUCCGGGAAACCGGAGCUAAUACCGGAUAGUUCCUUGAACCGCAUGGUUCAAGGAUGAAAGACGGUUUCGGCUGUCACUUACAGAUGGACCCGCGGCGCAUUAGCUAGUUGGUGGGGUAAUGGCUCACCAAGGCGACGAUGCGUAGCCGACCUGAGAGGGUGAUCGGCCACACUGGGACUGAGACACGGCCCAGACUCCUACGGGAGGCAGCAGUAGGGAAUCUUCCGCAAUGGACGAAAGUCUGACGGAGCAACGCCGCGUGAGUGAUGAAGGUUUUCGGAUCGUAAAGCUCUGUUGUUAGGGAAGAACAAGUGCGAGAGUAACUGCUCGCACCUUGACGGUACCUAACCAGAAAGCCACGGCUAACUACGUGCCAGCAGCCGCGGUAAUACGUAGGUGGCAAGCGUUGUCCGGAAUUAUUGGGCGUAAAGGGCUCGCAGGCGGUUUCUUAAGUCUGAUGUGAAAGCCCCCGGCUCAACCGGGGAGGGUCAUUGGAAACUGGGAAACUUGAGUGCAGAAGAGGAGAGUGGAAUUCCACGUGUAGCGGUGAAAUGCGUAGAGAUGUGGAGGAACACCAGUGGCGAAGGCGACUCUCUGGUCUGUAACUGACGCUGAGGAGCGAAAGCGUGGGGAGCGAACAGGAUUAG